AAUUUUGAAGUUGAACGUUCUGGAGGCAGAAGCAGAGAACGUGCCGCGUGCGUGCGUGUCCAUGGAGGAAUUGCAGAGCGCUCUUCGAGAUCGGGGUUUAGCUGUUUCAUAUGUUCCAGAGAAAGGACGGUGUCUCGUCACCACCAAUGAUUUCUACCCAGGAGAAGUCAUUAUAAGCCAAGAACCCUACGUCUGUGUACCAAACAACUCAGCAACUGAGUCGCGGUGUGAUGGAUGUUUCGCUUCAGGAAACCUCAAGAAGUGCUCAGCUUGUCAAGUUGUGUGGUACUGUGGGAGCACAUGCCAGAAGUCUGAGUGGAAGUUGCAUCGUCUGGAGUGUGAUGCUCUUUCUAAGCUUGACAAGGACAGGCAAAAGUCUGUUACACCUUCUAUACGUUUGAUGGUGAAACUCUACCUGCGAAGAAAAUUACAAAGUGAGAAGACUAUCUCCGCCACUGCUACAGACAAUUAUAAUUUAGUGGAGGAGUUGGUGUCUCACAUGAAAGACAUUGAUGAGAAGCAACUGGUAUUAUAUGCACAGAUGGCCAACCUUGUGAGCUUGAUUCUUCAGUGGCCUGAUAUCAACAUAAAAGAGAUUGCAGAAAAUUUUUCCAAGCUCGCUUGCAAUGCCCAUACCAUUUGUGAUAGUGAACUGAGACCCCUAGGCACAGGACUGUAUCCUGUUGUUUCCAUUAUUAACCACAGCUGCUUGCCCAAUGCUGUUUUGGUAUUUGAGGGAAGGCUGGCUGUGGUGCGUGCUUUACAACAUAUGCCAAAAGGUGCUGAGGUGUUGAUUAGUUACAUAGAGACUGCUGGAAGUACCAUGACACGUCAAAAAUCUCUCAGGCAACAGUAUUUUUUUACCUGCGCAUGCCCCCGCUGCAUUAAAAUGGGUCAGCAAGAUGAUAUCCGAGAAAGUGCAAUUCUGGAAGGUUACAGAUGCAAAGACAAUAUAUGCAAUGGUUUCUUGCUUCGUGAUUCUAAUGACAAAGGUUUUGUGUGCCAAGAGUGUGGCCUCAUUAGGAGCAAGGAAGAGGUGAAAAAGAUAGCAGCUGAAAUACGAGAAACUUCAGACAAGGCUUCCAAGUCUCUGUCCUCUGGCAAUCUAAAGGAAUGCAUCUCUAUGCAUAAGAUGAUUGAGAAACUUCAACAGAAAUUAUUCCAUCCCUUUUCAAUUAGCUUGAUGCAAACUCGAGAAAAGCUGCUAAAGAUGUUGAUGGAGCUAAACGACUGGAGAGCCGCUCUGUCAUAUUGCAAAUUGACCAUUCCUGUGUAUCAAAGAGUAUAUCAAGAAUUUCAUCCUUUGCUUGGAUUGCAAUAUUAUACUAGUGGAAAACUCGAGUGGUUAGGUUGCUUGGGAACACGGAGGAUGCUAUCAAAUCACUGAGCAAAGCGGCGGACAUACUUAGAAUAACUCAUGGAACAAAUACACCCUUUGUAAAGGAGCUGAUGAUGAAGUUGGAGGAAGCACGUGCUGAAGCUUCUUACAAACUUUCAUCUAAAGAUGAUCAGUAGUGAAUCCAUCGUAUUUGGUGGAGUUGGUGCUAACAUCAGUAUUAUCACUGCAGGGCUAUUCCUCUAAAGAAAGGACAUGAAGUUUUAAAAGAUCGUCAUUUUUUGGGUCUCUCUUCGGUCAUCCUUGAGACCAUUCUUGGAUUUGAUAUGUGGCCUAGAUGUCAGACGUCAAGCUUUAUUUAUAGCUACAUUGAAGGCUGUUUCGGCCUCUGACUUGGCAACCCAUCCAGAUUUGUUCCGGUGACUUUUUAUUUUUUGUUUUUUGUUUUCUCUGAUGUGAAAAGGUGGUGAUUAUUUAUGUUAAUUUAUCUAUCGGGAUUUUGUUGUAUAUUGGCGAUUCAUGGAUGUCGGAGAAUUUCAGCUUUAAGAAUUUCCCUUCUUUUU